UGGGGAAUAUUGGACAAUGGGGGCAACCCUGAUCCAGCAAUGCCGCGUGUGUGAAGAAGGUCUUCGGAUUGUAAAGCACUUUCGACGGGGACGACGAUGACGGUACCCGUAGAAGAAGCCCCGGCUAACUUCGUGCCAGCAGCCGCGGUAAUACGAAGGGGGCUAGCGUUGCUCGGAAUGACUGGGCGUAAAGGGCGUGUAGGCGGUUUACACAGUCAGAUGUGAAAUCCCCGGGCUUAACCUGGGAGCUGCAUUUGAUACGUGUAGACUAGAGUGUGAGAGAGGGUUGUGGAAUUCCCAGUGUAGAGGUGAAAUUCGUAGAUAUUGGGAAGAACACCGGUGGC
rnacentral:rRNA from 1 species